CUCACCUGUAAGUAUCCCUCCUAUAGCAUAUUCCUUCCUGCUAGCUCAUCUUCUCUACUGUUACCAACCUAUUUCCACCCUUGCUCGCCAUGGUGGCUUCGAGCAAGGGUAACUGGUUAUGUGCCAUGCACACCACGUCCACUUGCUGAGAGCUCUUUUUCGUUUGCCUUCGUGAGGCCUGCCUCCUUUCCUACUGCUCUUUCUGUAUCUGUUCUGGGUUUUCCUCGACCUUUGACUUUCAGACUGCCCUGUUUCUUGUGGCAUAUGCUUAACAUAUUUUCACUAACUAGACCAGUACCUACCAUCUAGCUGUGUGGUCGAUGUCUUCAGGCUCUGUUUGUGCAGUCUGGAGUCCUGAGCUUGGUUCUGAAUUUCUAUCUUCCUACUGAAAAGAUUUCUCUUCCCUCUUCCCUCCA
rnacentral:lncRNA from 1 species